UGUGCCAGCAGCCGCGGUAAUACGUAGGUGGCAAGCGUUGUCCGGAUUUACUGGGCGUAAAGCGAACGCAGGCGGACUGUUAAGUAGAAAGUGAAAGGUCGGAGCUCAACUCCAACAUUGCUUUCUAUACUGGCAGUCUUGAGUAGCGGAGAGGAAGGGGGAACGACACGUGUAGCGGUGAAAUGCGUUGAUAUGUGUCGGAACACCCAUGGCGAAAGCACCCUUCUGGACGCAAACUGACGCUCAGGUUCGAAAGCCAAGGUAGCGAACAGGAUUAGAUACCCUGGUAGUCUUGGCCCUAAACUAUGUUCACUAGGUGUCGGGGGGUUUCCUUCGGUGCCGCAGCUAACGCAUUAAGUGAACCGCCUGGGGACUACGGCCGCAAGGUUGAAACUCAAAGGAAUUGGCGGGGGCCCGCACAAGCGGUGGAGCAUAUGGCUUAAUUCGAUGCAACGCGAAGAACCUUACCAGGGCUUGACAUGUACCUGCAAUCCCCCGAAAAGGGGCCGCCUUCGAGGGUGGUACACAGGUGGUGCAUGGCUGUCGUCAGCUCGUGUUGUGAAAUGUUGGGGUUAAGUCCCGCAACGAGCGCAACUCUCAUGUUUUGUUACCAGCGGAUAAUGCCGGGGACUCGAGACAAACUGCCUCUGUAAAGAGGAGGAAGGUGGGAACGACGUCAAGUCAUCAUGCCCCUUACGCCCUGGGCUGCACAUAUGCUAACAAUGGCGUCUACAAAGGUUGCUAGCCAGCGAUGGUAUGCUAAUCUCAAAAAAGACGUCUCAGUCGGAUUGGAGUCUGCACUCGACUCCCAUGAAGUUGGAAUCCGCUAGUAACCGCAGUCAGCAAUACUGCGGUGAAUACCUU
rnacentral:rRNA from 1 species